rnacentral:rRNA from 1 species
GGGGAAUUUUUGUCAAUGGGGGCAACCCUGAACAAGCAACGCCGCGUGAAGGACGAAGACCUUCGGGUUGUAAACUUCUGUCGGAGGGGACGAAAGCAGUGGAGGUUAAUACCCACUAUUGUUGACGGUACCCUACGAGGAAGCCCCGGCUAACUCCGUGCCAGCAGCCGCGGUAAUACGGAGGGGGCUAGCGUUGUUCGGAUUUACUGGGCGUAAAGCGCGCGUAGGCGGCUUGGAAAGUUGGGAGUGAAAGCCCGGGGCUCAACCCCGGAACUGCUCUCAAAACUUCCAAGCUAGAGAUCUGGAGAGGAGGGUGGAAUUCCAAGUGUAGAGGUGAAAUUCGUAGAUAUUUGGAAGAACACCAGUGGCGAAGGCGACUCUCUGGCCAGAUACUGACGCUGAGGUGCGAAAGCGUGGGGAGCAA